UACGAAGGGGGCUAGCGUUGUUCGGAAUUACUGGGCGUAAAGCGUAUGCAGGCGGAUCGUUAAGUCGGGGGUGAAAUCCCGAGGCUCAACCUCGGAACUGCCUUCGAUACUGGCGACCUUCGAGUCCGGGAGAGGUGAGUGGAACUCCGAGUGUAGAGGUGAAAUUCGUAGAUAUUCGGAAGAACACCAGUGGCGAAGGCGGCUCACUGGCCCGGGUACUGACGCUGAGAUACGAAAGCGUGGGGAGCAAACAGGG
rnacentral:rRNA from 1 species